rnacentral:rRNA from 1 species
UACGGAGGGUGCAAGCGUUAUCCGGAUUCACUGGGUUUAAAGGGUGCGUAGGUGGGUUGGUAAGUCCGUGGUGAAAUCUCCAGGCUUAACUUGGAAACUGCCAUUGAUACUAUCAAUCUUGAAUACCGUGGAGGUCAGCGGAAUAUGUCAUGUAGCGGUGAAAUGCUUAGAUAUGACAUAGAACACCAAUUGCGAAGGCAGCUGGCUACACGAAUAUUGACACUGAUGCACGAAAGCGUGGGGAUCAAACAGG